rfam:Firmicutes bacterium CAG:582 genomic scaffold, scf87
AUAAUUAACUUGCACAACAAUUAUGUUGGAAUCUGGUCAGAGUAGGAAUACAGCAGCCAUAACAACCUCUAAUUGUGUGUGCUUUUUUUAUAUUUAA